rnacentral:sRNA from 1 species
UCCAUCCCAGUCUGCUGACCUGUACCGC